rnacentral:rRNA from 1 species
AUUGAGCGCUGGCGGCAGGCCUAACACAUGCAAGUCGAGCGGAUGAAGGGAGCUUGCUCCUGGAUUCAGCGGCGGACGGGUGAGUAAUGCCUAGGAGUCUGCCUGGUAGUGGGGGAUAACGUCCGGAAACGGGCGCUAAUACCGCAUACGUCCUGAGGGAGAAAGUGGGGGAUCUUCGGACCUCACGCUAUCAGAUGAGCCUAGGUCGGAUUAGCUAGUUGGUGGGGUAAGGCCUACCAAGGCGACGAUCCGUAACUGGUCUGAGAGGAUGAUCAGUCACACUGGAACUGAGACACGGUCCAGACUCCUACGGGAGGCAGCAGUGGGGAAUAUUGGACAAUGGGCGAAAGCCUGAUCCAGCCAUGCCGCGUGUGUGAAGAAGGUCUUCGGAUUGUAAAGCACUUUAAGUUGGGAGGAAGGGCAGUAAGUUAAUACCUUGCUGUUUUGACGUUACCAACAGAAUAAGCACCGGCUAACUUCGUG